rnacentral:rRNA from 1 species
AUUGAACGCUGGCGGCAUGCCUUACACAUGCAAGUCGAACGGUAACAGGUCUUCGGAUGCUGACGAGUGGCGUACGGGUGCGUAAUACAUCGGAACGUGCCCGAUCGUGGGGGAUCACGGAGCGAAAGCUUUGCUCAUACCGCAUACGAUCUACGGUUGAGAGCCGGGUACCGCAAGGCUUUGCGCGGACGGAGCGGCCGAUGGCAGAUGAGGUAGUUGGUGGGAUAAAAGCUUACCAAGCCGACGAUCUGUAGCUGGGCUGAGAGGACGACCAGCCACACUGGGACUGAGACACGGCCCAGACUCCUACGGGAGGCAGCAGUGGGGAAUUUUGGACAAUGGGCGAAAGCCUGAUCCAGCCAUGCCGCGUGAAGGAUGAAGGCCUUCGGGUUGUAAAAUGCUGUUGUAAGGAACGAAAAGACUCUUUCGAAUAAAGAGGGUCCAUGACGGUACCGUAAGAAUAAGCACCGGCUAACUACGUG